GACAUGGUGGCUUAAUGGUUAACAUGUCUGGCUCAUACCUCCAGGGUCGGGGGUUUGAGUCCCACCUCUGCCC